CUGUAUUUCUUGACUCCUUCAUGGU
rnacentral:piRNA from 1 species